GGGGCCGUAAAGGCUUCGACGGGGAUUCUGAAACACAAUAAGCGAGUAGUGAGGGCGAAAUCACUUUAAUAGUCGCAACUUAAAUUUAAACGCAGACGACGAUCUCGUUUUAGCAGCUGCCUAAGCGCGCUGCCGUCAUACCUCGCAGUACCGCGGGCGGGGAUAUGGCGUCGACUAGCGGUGAACGACCUGAGCGAAUAGCCUUAUAGCUCUUGUUGUAUUAAAGGCUACCGACCGCGAAAGCCUGUUUAUCGGCGCUCGCGCGGGGGAAUCACAAAAGAUAAACUGCACUCGGAGAAGGUUGUGAGGACGGGUUUUCGGACAGGGGUUCAAUUCCCCUCGGCUCCACCA
rnacentral:tmRNA from 1 species